rnacentral:rRNA from 1 species
GACGAACGCUGGCGGCGUGCUUAACACAUGCAAGUCGAACGGUAAGGCCCUUCGGGGUACACGAGUGGCGAACGGGUGAGUAACACGUGGGUGAUCUGCCCUGCACUUCGGGAUAAGCCUGGGAAACUGGGUCUAAUACCGGAUAGGACCACUGCCAGCAUGGGUGGUGGUGGAAAGCUUUUGCGGUGUGGGAUGGGCCCGCGGCCUAUCAGCUUGUUGGUGGGGUGAUGGCCUAGCAAGGCGACGACGGGUAGCCGGCCUGAGAGGGUGACCGGGCACACUGGGACUGAGAUACGGCCCCGACUCGUACGGGAGGCAGCAGGGGGGAAUAUUGAACAAUGGGCGCAAGCCUGAUGCAGCGACGCCGCGUGAGGGAUGACGGCCUUCGGGUUGUAAACCUCUUUCAGCACCGACGAAGCGCAAGUGACGGUAGGUGCAGAAGAAGGACCGGCCAACUACGUGCCAGCCGCCGCCGUAACAC